rnacentral:rRNA from 1 species
AGAGUUUGAUCAUGGCUCAGAACGAACGUUGGCGGCGUGCUUAACACAUGCAAGUCGAACGAGAAAGUUUUCUUCGGAGAACGAGUACAGUGGCGCACGGGUGAGUAACGCGUAAGUAAUCUACCUUGGCAUCUGGAAUAACUACGGGAAGCUGUAGCUAAUACCGGAUACGUUUAUAGAGUUACGACUCUAUACAGAAAGAUGACCUCUUCUUGAAAGUUAUCGUGCUAAGAGGAGCUUGCGUACCAUUAGCUAGUUGGUAGGGUAAUGGCCUACCAAGGCAACGAUGGUUAGCGGGUCUGAGAGGAUGAUCCGCCACACUGGAACUGGAACACGGACCAGACUCCUACGGGAGGCAGCAGUGAGGAAUAUUGCGCAAUGGGGGAAACCCUGACGCAGCGACGCCGCGUGGAUGAUGAAGGCCUUAGGGUCGUAAAAUCCUGUCAGAUGGGAAGAAAUGUAUGUAGGAAUAAUACCCUAUGUGCUUGACGGUACCAUCAAAG